ACCUUUCUUCUUUCUUCUUCAGAGACCUUAAUGUAUCCAGGAUCCGUUCUCCAUGUUUUGUAGAAAUAGUAGAGAAGACCCAUCACGCUGAGGAUGAAGGGGAUCUGGAAAAUUGUGUCUGCUAAAUGUAGCAUUCAAAGUUCAGAUUCCUGCCUUUGACUACACCCUGGAACACACAUCCCUUCACAUCCCUUCUCCACCAGUAAGGAAUACUGCAUAUAAGGAAUGACAGUAAGAAGGAACAUACGCUAAGACGACAUCCACUAGUGGAGGAUCUCACAGGCCAACUGACAAUAAUUCUACUACCAAUCACCCUCAAAAGGAAAGACAUUUAUAGGAUGGAAAAAGAAAAUCCUAUCAGCAUUCUGUUACAACUCAAGAUCCUGGACUAGAUGAACUCCUGAUUUGAUCUGGUAUUUGAUCUUUUUCUAUUUCUACCCCAGGACUGACCAAUUUAAUAAUAUUUAUAUGUAAAUAUAUACUGUACAAAAUAUACAGAUAGGUACACACAUUUUAGGCGUAGUAUUGUUAUGUAUAUAGAUAUUUGCUGCACUACUGUUACACUAGUGUAAAGCUUUUAUAUAAAUGAAGAUACAUGUGUAUUAUAAACAGAAUUUUUACACCCCUCUAUUAUAAGCAUUUAUACACAGGUUCUGUGUGGGGGUGCUGAGAAGGGCACUUAAACAAAUCACACCAAGUUAAGACUGGUAUCUUCCUAGGUACAGCACUGUGCACUUUAACUCAAAGUUGUUCUCUCUUGCAUAUUACAAAUACAAUGAGGUAACUCAGUGGCUAAAACCAAAAAUGUUACUCUAACAAAUAUUGAUAUUGUGUGUUUUGAGAUGUAAUCUCUUCCAUAGCUCGUAUCAUGUUUAGUCAUGACGCAAUUGCAGGACAUUAUCUUGUGAGCCCAUAUGGUGCUGUAUUUCCUUGUGGAUAUUGUUAAUACUCUGCAUCUGUUUCUGUUUUGUAGAUCUGGGGGAGCAAAUCCAGAACAUACUAGCUGGGAGUUUAGCAAAGCAUAUGGGAAAGGUUCAAAAAACAUGUAUAAGUAUGUCCAAAGAGUUUGGCUCCACCAAUCAAAACAUUUACACCACACUCAUGAAUCUGUGGGUACUCCCAGGAAAGAAAUAUGUACACACGUAGGAGGAUGGGGGAAAACAAAAGGAAUGGGACCUACUUGCCCACCACUUCUCAAGUACUGGUCAGGGCUUUCUGUGUUCAUUUUGUUCACUAUUUCUAAUGCACGACCAGUUAAAGGUUUUAAUUUUUAAGUCCUGAAACAAAGGAUUGAACUGACAUAAAUCAUUUAAACUUACAGCCAGAAACUCAAAUUCCACAUUUACACACAGCAGUAACAACAAAUAACUUACUUACAAGUGAGACAAAUAUAUACAUGGUUCCCAGCUGGAAUAUACCCACCACAGAAAUUAAUCCUAAUAAUCAUAUUAAGGAGAUCUCAUUAGAAAUAGUACAAAAGAAAAUGCCACUUAAGGGAUGAAGUAAUUAAAAAUGUAAUGCUACUUAAUGUAGGAAUAUAUUACUGCUGGUUUAAUACAGAAAUUAUUUUCAGUUACAAAUAUCUCCCUAAAGGCCUUCUGAUCUAAUGGAAAUGUUUUACAAAACUAAAAGAUAAAGCCCUCCGUGCAACAACAAAGCAGAAUAUAGGAUAGUGAGUGCAACAACACUUGUACAUCGCUUUACACAUACUAUCAAUCCAUAGCCUGUUAUAAGAACUGAAGUGUGUUAAAGAAAAGCCAUAUACCAUACACAGAGAAUGCAGCUCAACCCCUGAAUGUAUCUGAAGGCAGUACACUUUUGAAGUUCUAUUUAAAAAAAAAAAAUGAUAAAGCAGCAGCAAAAGGAGUUCUGAAUCACUGUCCUUUUAGAAUGUGGAGAUGUCAUUUACUUUUUACUUAUCUGGGCCCCAAUCCAGAAGGCAUUUAAGCAUGUGUCUGAACACUGUGCUUGAUCAGAGCCUUGAUGAGCGAGGUAGGUGGCCACAUGAGGAACUAACCUGGAGGGAAAAUUGGGUUUAAAAAUGGCACACACUAAUUUGUAUUCAACAAAACAUUAAAAAAAAAAAAUCUACUGUUGUGCCUUCACAUUUAAACCAAC